CCUACGGGGGGCAGCAGUGGGGAAUAUUGGACAAUGGGGGGAACCCUGAUCCAGCCAUGCCGCGUGUGUGAAGAAGGCCCUCGGGUUGUAAAGCACUUUCAGUGAGGAAGAACGCCUGGUGGUUAAUACCCAUCAGGAAAGACAUCACUCACAGAAGAAGCACCGGCUAACUCCGUGCCAGCAGCCGCGGUAAUACGGAGGGUGCGAGCGUUAAUCGGAAUUACUGGGCGUAAAGCGCGCGUAGGUGGCUUGAUAAGCCGGUUGUGAAAGCCCCGGGCUCAACCUGGGAACGGCAUCCGGAACUGUCAAGCUAGAGUGCAGGAGAGGAAGGUAGAAUUCCCGGUGUAGCGGUGAAAUGCGUAGAGAUCGGGAGGAAUACCAGUGGCGAAGGCGGCCUUCUGGACUGACACUGACACUGAGGUGCGAAAGCGUGGGUAGCAGACAGGAUUAGAUACCCCUGUAGGC
rnacentral:rRNA from 1 species